GAAACAACAGUUGUAAGAUACACUUAGCAUUUUACAUUAUUGAACUGCGAAAUACAAAUGAAUACAAAAAUAUAAAUGAAAAAGACAGAUGCCAUUGCUAAGUAACUAACUGCUUACUGUAAAUGGCUUAAUCCCAUAGCUGAACUGUUCAUCGAAGCAAACUUAACAAUCUCUUGUGGCAAAAACUGGCAAUUCCCUUCAUGUUUAAUUCCCAAAAAAUCUCUUGUUAAACAAUUAUCCAUACCGUUCAUUGAAACUGCUUGAGUAUUAUGCAUACCAACUGUUUGCAUAAUUGCCUCAUCCAAAUUAAUCGACUUAUUAAUCCCUGAAGAAGUGAAAUUCGGACACCCAAAUAGCCCGUUGUUGCUCUGUAACAACGAAGUUGUGUAAUCUUCAGAUUUCUUGGCGAAAAUUUGAUCUGUUGUUUCACAACUCUGUAAACUGGUAAAAGUUGGUGUAUUUGGGGAAGAUGAAGAAGAAGAGUUCAGUUUGCUGAAAUUGUUGCUAAAGAAAGUUGAUUGAUUGCUUUUUGUAGAGCCCAUUUGUGCUGCUUUCUGUAGAAGUGCAGUAGCAGACAUUGGUGUGGUCGAAUUUUGUUUGGUUAAUUGGCUGUUUUGACUAUCGGAAUACAGAGAAUUGUAUGCUUCAGCUAUUGAAAAGUUCGCAGAUGUCGAAUUAGAUGAUCCAAAUACAUUUUGAGAUUGCAUUUGGAUCAUUUCUUGGAAACCCCCUGUGAUUGAACUGUCAAAAAGAUUCGAACUUGAAGAUAUUUGAAGAGGAUUAUUAUGAUUAGCUGCUUGUUGAUCUAACCAUAGUGAUAAUCUUGGUUUUUGCUGCUGCUGCUGAUGAAGUGAAUUGUUAUUACCAGUUGUGUAACUACCAAAAUCUGGUCUACAUCCUGCGAAUCCGCCAUGUAAAUUUGCUUGUUGUUGGUUCAAUAAAGUUGCAGUAUUUGGGAAGUUGAUCAAAUUGGUAGCCCCAACUGAUGUGAUUCUUG
rnacentral:misc_RNA from 1 species